rnacentral:rRNA from 1 species
CCGAGGCUGGAGAAGUCUGACCGAGCACGCCGCGUGAGUGAAGAAGGUUUUCGGAUCGUAAAACUCUGUUGGUAGAGAAGAACGUUGGUGAGAGUGGAAAGCUCAUCAAGUGACGGUAACUACCCAGAAAGGGACGGCUAACUACGUGCCAGCAGCCGCGGUAAUUG